UCGAUCACCGACAGCUCCUUGACUUUCUUUACAACAGCCUGCUCAUCCUCAGCAUCCUUCUGCUGAUAUGUAGAAAAGUGAUUUAAUUAAACCACAUGCAGUACAGUAUAAAAUAUGAUAUGUCAUAGGGUUGGGAACUUGACAAUGCAUUCAUGACAAUAUUAGUAUCUUGAGAUAACUUUAAAAAGAUAAACAGUGCAACAAAAUCUACGAAAAUAAAAGGCUUGACUGCCCCAUAGUUAAUGACCAGCGUCUGUGACACACUGAAUAAAAAUAUGGUCCAUAGUGAAUAUGAAUAGGUGGAUAGAUACAACAAUGUCGCAAAAAAUUCUGAAACAUAGGAUAAAAUGUUAUGUUAUUUAGUGUUAGGCUGUGUCUACUACCGCGCACUUGAGCACUUCGAGCACUUCGAGCACUGACUUUCAGUGUUCGAAGUGCGCCACUGAAAAAUCCAGCAGAAUUCAGUGCACUGAAAGUACCCGGAUGGUGCACUGCAAACGGGCAAAAAAUGUAGCGUAAAACGAUGGACACUACUCGCACUAAGCGGCCGCCAUCUUGGCUACGUACCGGAAGAGGAGGAGCCCUUUCGCCAGCUUUUCAUUUUAUUUCUAAAACAAUGGCGGACAGCACAAGCGGUAGACCACGAAGCUACAGACCGUAAAUAGACGUUUCCUGGAGGUGCUGGUGCUGGUCCUCUGCUGCCCUCCCGACAUCUGGCUCCAAUGACCUCUGGCACCUCACAUCCACCUCCAGGGCCUUUAAGAAGAUGGACCGCCAUCGCGUCUUCAGUAUCCCGAAGGACCUCUCCACAACACAACACACCUCGCCUUUGACAGGCAGCAGUUGUAGCUUGGAGGUGGUUGCGGACAGGCUGCCUGAAGGGGUCAUGAGGCAGAUGGGUUGGGACAGGCAGGGGGAGCCACCAUCCCCAAGGAUACAGUAUCCUGGUGGAGGGUAUGACUGCUCAUAGAAGAUGGGGCUGUUAUUCAGGACCCUGGCAUCAUGCACUGAGCCCGGGGCCUGUCGAAGGCCCUGGCCACCACCCGAUAGGAGGUGGCGCUGGCAAGCCAAAAAAUAAAAACUAGACAGGAGAUCUCGGGGCCCCAACCGUGGUCAGUCAGUGCCCAGCACAGCCAUGAGGGCGUUGAAUGACUCUCGGGUGAGCCUGAAGUCCACCCUCAUGUCACUGGCCAUCACAAUACAACGCCAGCAGUGGCAUUGCAACAUUGAUACGGCAGCGCCGCCUGGGACUGGGUGGCUGCUGUACAGUGUGUGGGGAGGGGAAGGGAAGAUUAUAUUAAUAUGUAAGUCAUUUUAUCAAUAAAAUGUUGUCAUUGA